rnacentral:rRNA from 1 species
AUUGAACGCUGGCGGAAUGCUUUACACAUGCAAGUCGAACGGCAGCACGGACUUCGGUCUGGUGGCGAGUGGCGAACGGGUGAGUAAUGUAUCGGAACGUGCCCAGUCGUGGGGGAUAACGUAGUGAAAAUUACGCUAAUACCGCAUACGAUCUAUGGAUGAAAGCGGGGGAUCGCAAGACCUCGCGCGAUUGGAGCGGCCGAUAUCAGAUUAGGUAGUUGGUGGGGUAAAGGCCCACCAAGCCAACGAUCUGUAGCUGGUCUGAGAGGACGACCAGCCACACUGGAACUGAGACACGGUCCAGACUCCUACGGGAGGCAGCAGUGGGGAAUUUUGGACAAUGGGCGAAAGCCUGGUCCAGCCAUUCCGCGUGCAGGAUGAAGGCCCUCGGGUUGUAAACUGCUUUUGUACAGAACGAGAAGGUUUCUACUAAUACUAGGAGCUCAUGACGGUACUGUAAGAAUAAGCACCGGCUAACUACGUGCCAGCAGCCGCGGUAA